GAUGAAGAACGCAGCGAAAUGCGAUAAGUAGUGUGAAUUGCAGACUUUAGUGAAUCAUCGAAUCUUUGAACGCACAUUGCGCCCGCCAGUAUUCUGGCGGGCAUGCCUGUCCGAGCGUCAUUUCAACCCUCGAACCCCUCCGGGGGGUCGGCGUUGGGGAUCGGGAACCCCUAAGACGGGAUCCCGGCCCCGAAAUACAGUGGCGGUCUCGCCGCAGCCUCUCCUGCGCAGUAGUUUGCACAACUCGCACCGGGAGCGCGGCGCGUCCACGUCCGUAAAACACCCAACUUCUGAAAUGUUGACCUCGGAUCAGGUAGGAAUACCCGCUGAACUUAAGCAUAUCAAUAAGCGGAGGA
rnacentral:misc_RNA from 1 species